rnacentral:lncRNA from 1 species
AGAAGAGCCAGGAGCGUGAGCAGUGGUGCUGGAAACUUCUCCCUGAUGCAAGACUGGUAUGGAGGCCAGUUCAGCAGCUGCGGGCGGUGCCUGCCAGGUGGAGCUGGGCGUAAGGGUGAUGGCGGAAGAAACACAGGAGGCCUCUUUCCUAUGGGCAAACUGCUACCAGUGGGCAGCCGUGGCUGGGUGCACAUCCUCAGGAGCAGCCCUGCCCUCAGAGUGAGCCCUCCCCCACGCUGCCUGGGACUCGGGUCUGAAGAGUUCUCCGUGCUCAGGUUUCCAUGGAUACUGACAACAAACUUUGUUUGGUCUAAUGAGAAGUCUCAUGCUAAUAAAGGCAGGAGCUGCAUUUGACAAUACACACUAAAAUCAUUCUUCUAUACUUAGCAAUUAAUUUGAAGGACACCCAUUUGUAGAGAUAAUUUAAACAGAGCAGGUUUCUACCCCACAUAAUAACCCAC